UAGGUCUGAGGCGAAGCAACGAAGUCUCUACAGGCACAGUAACGCAUCUAAAAAAAUAAGAGAGCAAAGGAAACCGAGCUGGAAGGAAAGCUUAAUUGGGAAAUCAGCUGCAUAUUGUACCCCCGUGGGAAUAUGGAAGUGGCUGCAGAUGGAGUCGCCAGCCUGGCUUCACUUUUGGGACAGCUCAAGCUACAACGUCAAAGCAACCGCUUCAGUUUUAGCACCUGGGCACCUGUGGGAACCUCCACCCUGACCCCAGUGACACUUCUGCCUGCACAUGACAGCUAAAGGUGAAACUCAGCAGCUCCCAGGGAUGAUGAAGAAGGAGGUGAUGCCAAGGAACAAACACAGAGACACAUCUGAAAUAAAACCCCCUAAAGCUAAUCCUGCAGGACAGAAAUGCCAGCUCAGCCCUCACUGGAAGCAAACCCCCUGGGACUCCUCACCAAGGCCAUUUCCAAUACAAGGGGCAGCCUCUGAAGCCACAGCUUUAGUUGGAGCUGCACAAGCUGCAGCUCUGCAGUGCUGGGGGGGGUGGCCCUGCUGCAGAGGCUCCUCUGUCCCCACGUUCCCUCCUCCCUAUUGCAAUUCCAAAUACAAAUAAACUCGUCUGGUUUGUUUCCUGAGUCA